AAUACCCUCAUAGAUGAUCGUGUAUAGAGAUCCUUAUCUCUAUCAAUAACAAAAUCAAGAUAUACUAUUUAUGAUCAAAUACUUUAAUCCUUGAUUGACCACAAUACUUGAUUAAUAAUUUAAUUGCUAAUUUUCUUAUUUCUACUAUUUAAUAUCUGAAUUACCUAAAUCCUAGAUUUAGGUAAUGCAGGCAAGGAAAAAAAUAGAAGUGUUUCCUUUUAGCGUGGGGGC
rnacentral:lncRNA from 1 species